rnacentral:rRNA from 1 species
CGUCAGCGGCGGACGGGUGAGUAACACGUGGGUAACCUGCCUGUAAGACUGGGAUAACUCCGGGAAACCGGGGCUAAUACCGGAUAUGUCUUUUCCUCGCAUGAGGAGAAGUGGAAAGAUGGCUUCGGCUAUCACUUACAGAUGGACCCGCGGCGCAUUAGCUAGUUGGUGAGGUAACGGCUCACCAAGGCGACGAUGCGUAGCCGACCUGAGAGGGUGAUCGGCCACACUGGGACUGAGACACGGCCCAGACUCCUACGGGAGGCAGCAGUAGGGAAUCUUCCGCAAUGGACGAAAGUCUGACGGAGCAACGCCGCGUGAGUGAAGAAGGUUUUCGGAUCGUAAAGCUCUGUUGUUAGGGAAGAACAAGUACCGUUCGAAUAGGGCGGUACCUUGACGGUACCUAACCAGAAAGCCACGGCUAACUACGUGCCAACAGCCGCGGGAAUACGUAGGUGGCAAGCGUUGUCCGGAAUUAUUGGGCGUAAAGCGCGCGCAGGCGGUCUCUUAAGUCUGAUGUGAAAGCCCACGGCUCAACCGUGGAGGGUCAUUGGAAACUGGGGGACUU